AACUAAGCAUAUCAAUAAGCGGAGGAAAAGAAACCAACAGGGAUUGCCCUAGUAACGGCGAGUGAAGCGGCAACAGCUCAAAUUUGAAAUCUGGCGCAAGCCCGAGUUGUAAUUUGUAGAGGAUGCUUCUGGCCAGCGGCCGUUCUAAGUUCCUUGGAACAGGACGUCAUAGAGGGUGAGAAUCCCGUAUGUGACCGGCGCGCAGCCUUUACGUAGCUCCUUCGACGAGUCGAGUUGUUUGGGAAUGCAGCUCUAAAUGGGAGGUAAAUUUCUUCUAAAGCUAAAUACCGGCCAGAGACCGAUAGCGCACAAGUAGAGUGAUCGAAAGAUGAAAAGUACUUUGGAAAGAGAGUUAAAAAGCACGUGAAAUUGUUGAAAGGGAAGCGCUUGCAACCAGACUUCGUAGCGGUGUUCCGCCGGUCUUCUGACCGGUCUACUCACCGUCGCGAGGCCAACAUCGUCUGGGACCGCCGGAUAAGACCUAAGGAAUGUAGCUUCCCUCGGGAAGUGUUAUAGCCUGUGGUGAUGCGGCGCGUCUCGGGCGAGGUCCGCGCUUCGGCAAGGAUGUUGGCGUAAUGGUUGUCAGCGGCCCGUCUUGAAACACGGACCAAGGAGUCUAACAUCUAUGCGAGUGUUCGGGUGUCAAACCCCUACGCGUAAUGAAAGUGAACGGAGGUGGGAAGCGCAAGCUGCACCAUCGACCGAUCCUGAUGUCCUCGGAUGGAUUUGAGUAAGAGCAUAGCUGUUGGGACCCGAAAGAUGGUGAACUAUGCCUGAAUAGGGUGAAGCCAGAGGAAACUCUGGUGGAGGCUCGCAGCGGUUCUGACGUGCAAAUCGAUCGUCAAAUUUGGGUAUAGGGGCGAAAGACUAAUCGAACCAUCUAGUAGCUGGUUCCUGCCGAAGUUCCC
rnacentral:rRNA from 1 species